rnacentral:rRNA from 1 species
UGGGGAAUAUUGGACAAUGGGCGCAAGCCUGAUCCAGCCAUGCCGCGUGAGUGAUGAAGGCCCUAGGGUUGUAAAGCUCUUUCACCGGUGAAGAUAAUGACGGUAACCGGAGAAGAAGCCCCGGCUAACUUCGUGCCACCAGCCGCGGUAAUACGAAGGGGGCUAGCGUUGUUCGGAUUUACUGGGCGUAAAGCGCACGUAGGCGGACUUUUAAGUCAGGGGUGAAAUCCCGGGGCUCAACCCCGGAACUGCCUUUGAUACUGGAAGUCUUGAGUAUGGUAGAGGUGAGUGGAAUUCCGAGUGUAGAGGUGAAAUUCGUAGAUAUUCGGAGGAACACCAGUGGCGAAGGCGGCUCACUGGACCAUUACUGACGCUGAGGUGCGAAAGCGUGGGGAGCAAACAGG